CUUAUCGGUACACAGGAGUGUGUCAUGCUCUGCGUUUCAUAUCUAUAGUAGCGGUUCAGCACAAGCACUUCAGAGCGCUCUCAUUAUUCUAUCCUGCUUUAUUCUAUCCUGUAUUAACCAUCUUUCUGUAAUAAACCCUUUUACCUUCAGAGGACGAGUCUGCGAGUGUUGACUAAUUUCCACGACAGUAUAUAAGUGUACACACCCCUAAACUAAUACUUUGUUGAAGCACCUUUCUGAUUUUACGACACCACUCAGUCUUUUUGGGUAAGAGUCUAUCAGUGUAUCUUGACUUGGCGAUAUUUCUCCACUCUUUCUUGCAAAAACAUUCUAGAUCAGUCAUAUUGUAAGGGUCCUGUGUCCUGUGUACUGCUGGCUCAAAUUUAGCCCAUUACCCACAAACACUUAAAAUUCAACAUAGAAGCCAAUACUCACAUCUACCUCUGAGCCCAGUUGGAGAUAGAAAAAAAGACACCAGCCGUGAGUGAGAAGAAGCAAGGGUCCAGCUUUAUUGGUUCCGUUCCACCACACGAGAUCCACACCGAUGAGAAUUCUCAGAAGUGAUCUGACACCCUGAGCUUAAGCUCCAGUAUUUAUACUGUAUUUACACAGUAGAUAACCCAUAUAUUUCAGAAAGACUAUGAUAUCAAUACCAAUAGGGUUAAAAAAGAGCUCAUCUACAUUACCAUGAUGUUCUGAAAAAGGACUUUCCAAGUUACCAUUAGAUUCAAAAGUGGAGAGACAAAACAAUUUAGAGAGACCUUGAUCUCACUGUUAUCUCGCGGGGGCAGCUUGACUCAGCCACGCUUAUAAAUGGCUCCUCAUGGUUUUCUCUUCAAAUUAAGGCCUUCCUUGCGAGACAAGAAUCUUCACCGUCUGAAUUAUGAGUGUUACUUUUUUUCUGUAUUUCUAGUUUAUAAUUUAUUUUCAUAUUUGCUCUAUAUCUCUAUUUUAUAUAUAGUUAUACUGCUUGCAAAAUGGUUGACUGUACUUCCUACUUCAUAAUAUCAUUAUAUUACCCUUCUACUGUCCUACUACUCUUUAUUUUUAUAAAGAGUAUAUAUUUUAUUAUUAUAAGAUAUUACCCUUAUAAUAUCUUAAUAUUCCUUUUUAUUAUUCUUAUAAAGUUAUAAUAGUAUGUGUGUGACAGAGAGAGAGAGACAGAGAGUGUGUGUGUGUUAUGUCUACAUGCCCGCCCUUGACUGUACGAGAGUGUGUGUGUGUGUGUGUGUGUGUGUGUGUGAGCACUCCUCAGCUCUUAUACUUCUUUUUGUCUUUUUGACUAAUAAACCAUAGUGUGUUACUCUUAAAAGAUCUUUAAAGUGUGAAUAUAAUUCGUCAAUAUCCGCCUAAUACCGCUUCUGUGUGUCUAGGUGCCCAUCAUUUCUUCUUCUCCCCUUUACUGGAUACUAGGUCUCCCUCAUGUUUAUCUCAUGUCAUUUUUAUGCACAACAGUACAGUCCGCUUCAGGUCACCCCACAGAUUGUUAGUUGGAUUCAGGUCUGUGCUCCGGCUCGGCCAUUCAAUAACAUUCAAUAGCCAUUCCUCUGUUGAUUUGGAGUAUGCUUUGGGUCAUUGUCGUGCUGAAAGGGUGAAAUUCCUUUUCAUCUUCAGAUUACUAGCAGACACCUGAAGGUUUUGCACUCAAAUGGACUGGUAUUUAUAGCAGUUCAUGAUUCCCUCCUCCUUGAUAGCCCCAGUUUUGGCUGAAGGAAAGCAGCCCUAAAGCAUGAUGCUGCCAUCACCAUGCUUCACUGUGGGUAUGGCGCUCUUUUGGAUGUAUGGAAUUAUUAUACCUUUUGGAAUUGGUCUCAUCAGACACAUUGCGCUACAUGAUUUAGGGUGAUUUAGUUGAGCUUGGAUGUCAUUUUGUUUUUUGUGAGCAAGCUUCCGUCUAGCCGCCCUACCCCAUAGCGCAGACGUGACGAAUAUGCGAGAUUGUCACGUGCAGAGUAAACAGUACUUGUCAGAUAUUCCUGCAGCUCCUUCAAUGUUGCCUGUAGGUCUCUAGGUAGCCUCCCUGGUAAGUUUUUGUCCAGUUCUUGGUAAUGUCACCGUAGUGCUCCAUUUUCUAUACUCGUCGAUGAUGGCCUUCAUUGUGUUCCACGGUGCGUCUAAUGUUUUGGACAUUCUUUUAUACCCCUCUCCUGAUCGAUACCUUUCAACAAGUGAGACCCCAUGCAUGCUUUGUAAGCUCUUUUUGGACCAGCAGUCAGAUGAAACCAAAAAGACCUGAAGACAAUCCUACAGAAACAGCUGAUCUUUAUUUGGCGUGAACCUGAAUAACUUCGUUGAUAACAGCUGUAUGAUCAACUGUAUGCUGUAUGACUUAUGAACAUGAGACUGAAUGUUAUUGGUUCAUUCUGAGUACAGCCACACCCCCAAUUAUAAAAGGGUGCCCACACUUAUGCAACAGGUUAUCAUAACUUCAUUAUUUUUCCCCUUAAAACGUGUUUAACUUGAUUUUUUGUGUGUUAUAAUUUUACAGUGAGGGUGGAAAAUGUGUUUCAUUUAUUUAUUUAUUAUUUAACUUAAAAACCUGCCAUGUUAAGAGGGGUGUGUAGACUUUUUUUAUUUUUUUUAACAUCCACUGUAACUCUUAAAUUCAGUUUAUUCAAUAGUUAGCUGUUGUACUCGUAUGCUAGAAGACUGACAGAGAACGCAGACCUCUGACUACAUUCCCAGGAGCACUGUGAGAAUAUGGCAUUGUGGGAAAAUAAUCACGAUCACAAAAACUUAUUAGAGCAGAUUGUACUAGAUCGGACAAAACCUUAAAACACAAACACGAGAGAGAGAGAGAAAGGCAAAAUCAAAAGCAUUCUGAUACAGGUCAUGUGAGAAGUUAGUUAAAGGAGGAACAGAGAUGGUGUAGUUUAAGAGCUCUUUAUUGUUCAUCAAGGCUACUUUAAGUACAAAACAAUGGCCUGCCAAUUGGUUUAUUCAAAAGAGAAACAAGGCCACAAAAUGAAUAGUAUAAUACAGAUUUACAAACCAUUCAGAAAUACACUAGCAGUGAAGGAUCAAAAUGUUCAUCUCUAGUGUUUAUUCUUCUGGAAGCACACGUGAUCUUCCUCAGAUUUGCUGUUUUAAUGGCAGUUAAACACAAAACGGUAAAAUCAAGAGUCGAGUUCCUCUUAAAGCGAACCGAAAAUUUGAUUUCCUCCGUACCCCAAAUUCAACCAAGACGUGUUUGUUGUCCUCAAUUUGCUUCUUUAGUUUUUCACUGGAGCUACGAGGCUAAUGCAGCCAGCAAGUAAAGGAAGACUAUAGCCUCCACUAUUAGCUUCUCGUCACUCACAUCGGGGGUGGACUGGCCGUCGGGAGCACUGGGAGAAUUCCCACUGCCCUGCUGUUUAAAAAUGUACACGUGUAUAUAUAUAUAAAUAUUUUAUUUGAUUGAUUUAAUCAUUAUCAUUUUAUAUUAUUGCGUGUCCGAUAUACCGAAGUGAUUUUUCUGUUCGUUCUCCGAAUUCGGCAUCCGAUAAUAAACGACGACUCUGUUCGUCAGGGUCAACCUGAGAUGACGGGUAGGGGUAAAAUAAGAGAAGUUACAUAUACUUUAAUACAGUUCUAUAAAAUAUUAUAUGGUUAAAUCUCAGGUAUUUGCAGUUUUUUUUUCUUCCCUUAAAAAAAAAAAAAUAAUGCGAUUCUUUAAUUUGAACUAAAAGAAAUUUCGAUUCCGUGCUCACAAUCUACAGUGAGGUUUAAAAGUUGUCGUUUUCCAGCAAUGUGGAGAAAGUUCUGUUCAUAGCAGGAGACCUGGUACAGAAGUGACAGGGUACAUGAAAUUUAAUGUACUUUUAUGAGUGAAAGGUAGAGAUUUGCUUUGUACUUCUGGUGUUUGUUAAAUGCGUGGCAGACCCACGUAAGCUGAUAUAAAUUACCGCUUCACGGCCUCUCGGUUGCUUGUUUAUGUUUGUAUGGGAUGGCCAGACUGUGUGUAAUAAAUACAGUUGAGAGUGGUUUAAAAAUCUGAUGUGGGUGUAUGGGGUGACCUGGAUGAGUGUGAGACGCCCCGCCUGAAACCAUGUCCCAGUCCGGCCCGGACCCGACGUCAGCCUCGUAGCUACAGCGCAAGACUCAAGAAGCAAAUUUCAGAUCUCAAAUUAGGACAACAUUUAGGUUAAGGAAGACAAUGGUGUGAAUUUCGCUUUCGUUGGAACUGCUCCUUUAAUGAUUAGUGAUUUUUGUUUGCUUGCUUCCAGAGACGGCUAAAAAGCCUCCGUGUUCGAUGCUGGAUCGAGACUGCUCAGUAGCCUUUAGAAAAUAAUACACAAGUGGCUAUAACGCAGUGUUUUCAUACAAUAACUGUGUUCCUGCACUUUAUUAAACCUUUAACAGAUAAGUCUACAAAUGAAAAAGAUCAACUUUUUCUUAAAAAACAAAACAAAACAAAACAAAAAAAACAAGCAUGAUUACAAUAAAGGACAGGGAAAACAAAUUAAAUAGCUACUCAUCAUUAACAAAUUAAUUGUUCCUCAAAAAAUACCUACGAUUUUUUUUCUCUGUACAUUCAUUACGCACAGCGUAACGAUGGUCUUAUAGUUACCUAUAUAUUUUUUUUCUUUUUUGUUAUGUGAUUUACCUACAGCGUGUAAGGUAAACGUGUGUCAAGAAGAGAAAGUGAGUUUCCUACCUAGUAAAAU
ensembl:lncRNA